rnacentral:rRNA from 1 species
GACAGAGGCCUCAAGCGUUAGGCGGAAUCACUGGGCUUAAAGCGUGUGUAGGUGGAUCGUUAAGUGUCUUGUGAAAUCCCACGGCUCACCCGUGGAACUGCUGGGCAUACUGGCGAUCUUGGGCCAACUAGGGGCAACUGGAACAAGCGGUGGAGCGGUGAAAUGCGUAGAUAUCGCUUGGAACGCCGAAGGUGAAAACAGGUUGCUGGGGUUGUGCCGACGCUGAGACACGAAAGCCAGGGGAGCAAACGGG